AAAAAGGGUGUUUGUCGCUUGAUGGCACGCCUGUUCCGAAGGGGCAGGUGGGGUAUGGCAAUCAAGACAUACCCAGCACGUAAUUUUUGAAACCGUGGGGCUGUUUUUAGGCAUUGCACCAGGAACGCCCCC